UUUAGCGGUCAUAGUGAUGGGGUUACACCUGGUCUCGUUUCGAUCCCAGAAGUAAAGUCUGUUAUGUUUUGUUUAGUACUAUGGAGGUAUCUAUGGGAGUUUCAUUUCGCUGCUAGCC
rfam:Methanobrevibacter sp. 87.7 contig114, whole genome shotgun sequence.